rnacentral:sRNA from 1 species
UACAAAUUCUAUGUGACCCGUUAUAUUUCUUUCGCUGCGUUACAUAUUUCAUGAAAAAUUAAGAACACCUUCUGCAAUAGUAUUUAAAGUGAAAGUUGUUCUAAUAUAGCUUAUUUGCCUGCUGCUUAUAGAUGAGACUUAAAUAAUCAUUCUGUUGUAUAUCUUAUUGCGGUGAUGUGCGGUGUGUGAAGUCUGACAUCAAAUAAUCUUGCAUGGGCAUGUUAAGUUAAGGACACUGCCAGUCACAAUCGAUUGCUUCAAAAAACCAAAGAAAUCUAAUCUUAAAUAGUAUGGAAAAG